UUGGAAUUGCAUGGAAUACUCACCGCCAUAAAAAAAGUGCUGAUUUUGUUGCUUUCACCUGUUCCCUCUCCUGGGAUGGAACAGAAUAAUGAACUCCAAAGGUAUGGACCACUGGUUGAGUUUAAUAUGAAAGAGUUUAUCCCUCUUCUUGAGAGGUGACAUGAAGGAAAGUAUUGAAAAUAAUUUUACCAUCUCAUCCUCAAGAGCCAGUGGGAAUUGUAACAUCAGUUGGAAGUAAUAUUGGAAUUGCAUGGAAUUCUUACCACCCCACCAAAGAAGAGCUGGUUUUGUCACUUCUGCCAGCUCCUUAUCUAAGAAGAAAUCCAAUGAUGCACUCUCAAGAAUUUUUGCAUUUUCUCAGUCUUCCUACUAAUGCCUCAUACAGGAAUUAAGCAUGGAGACGAUGGUAAAGCCAUUCCUCACCAGUGUGGCAGAGAGAAAUUGUUUCUACUGAGGGGUGUGCUUGGCCAAAUGUCACUGAAUCCUCAGCAGUGUGGCCUGGUGAGCACCACCCUGACAAUAGGACGGGGAGUAUUUCAUGGUUGGUGUUCCAAAAACUGGGUUUCAUAUGGAUGAGUUUAUCCCUUCCCCUUGAGAUGAGACAUGAAGGAAAGUGUUGGGAAUAAUUCUGCUUUCCAUCCUCAAAGGCCUGUGUGAAUUCUCACAAAGGUGAUAGAGCCUAGAAGGAAAGGGAAACUGUCUAUGCCUUUGCCUUAACUUCUGAAUGUCAGUUCUAGAGAAGGAGGUGACAACUUACUUCUCAGCCAAUGCUCUCCCUUCCUACCUGUGGUCCUUUGGACACCCUCGCAGAGGAUGACUUCUUGGGAACUCUUUUGGGAAUGAAUGAUAUCAGUAAAUCCCUGAAGCAAGAUUCUUCAGACAAAGCCUAUUUACCUACCUGUUGUCCAAGGGCUACCCUCUGAAGGUGAUGACCACAGAGACGAGGUGGAUUUGUUACUGUGGGUACCAUUACUUCUACCAUCAGCUUCUCCAAAACAAUGAUACAGUCUUCUUUGUGUAUGGAAACUCUUCUCUUUCCUGUGUUGCAGUGGAUUCCUCCUGCAGAUAAGAAAUGCUUAACUGAGAAAUGGUCAUGUUGGGAUAUCAUCGAUGAGACUUUAAUUUGGGCAUGGUGACUGUUUCCCUUGCUUCCACUUGACUCAAUCCCAGGAGCCUCAGUAGAGGAAAUAUUAUUGCACAAGAAACUCAGAAUGAUGGAAUUGCUCAGUGCUCCCAUAAAUAUACAUUUAUAAUUUUCAUUUGCCAUGUGGUAAAUUUAAAAAUUAAGAUCUAUUAAAUUUUUUUCAAAAAUUCAAAGCAUAUCUAAAUAUCUAAUAUAUAAAUUAAGUGCCCUCCUCUCUCCCAAUUCUAUCUCCCAGAGUUAUCCUCUAUUAAGUGAGUUGUGUGCAUUCUUUAAGUGGAUAGAUGCACACACACACAAACACACACACACAAGCUAUUUUGGGGGGUUCUGGAAGUGGAGGUAUAUUGUACACAUUAUCCUGCAAGUUGCAUUUCAUUUAACAGUUUUUUCAAUACCCUUUUUCUGUUUCAGUAAUACAUAUCUGUGUCAUUUGUUGAAUGACUGCAUGAUUGUUUUGUACAUGAAAUAUAAUUAAAUGUUUUCAGCAUUUCUCAUUCAUAGAUAUUUAUGUUAGCACCAAAUUUCUUGCAAUGAACCUCCCUAUAUAUCAAUAAUUUGCAUUUGUCUAUUAUAUCAUAAUAAAUUACUUAGCAGUGGAAAUACUGGGAUUAAGUAUAUGCACAUUUCAAAUUUUGAAAAUGAUCACAAGAUUUCCUUUAAAAUGUGGUAACAACUUUAUCCUCAAAUGGCAAUGAAUGAGAUUGACAGCUUUCCCACAACCUCACAGAUAAUGAAUUUUAUGACUAUUUAAAAUCUUUGCCGGUGUGAUAGCCCAAACUAUUGUCUUAAAUUGUAUUUCUUUCGUUUUUGAGUUUGAUCAUUUUUUCAUAUGUUUAUUAGCCAUCUGUAAUUUUAAUUUUCUUUUUAUGUCCAAUUUUGGGGGUGGGUGGAGGUUUUAAUCUCUUGCUAAUUUCAGAGAGUCAUUUAUUAUUGGGGGAAUAAGCUUUCGAUUGUCAAGCAUUACAGAUAUUUUUUACACACUUUAAAACUUCAUUUUUGUUAUAAGAAUGUGUAUGAUUGUUAUGUGUCCAAGUAUAACCAUGUUCGCUUCUAUGGCUUCUGAGCUUCAUGUCAUUUUAGAAAGAUAUUUACACUGAUCCCAUAAAACUCUUCACCUAUGUUAACUUCUAAUUCUUUUGUGUUUUUUAAUUCAAAUUCUUAAAUCAUGAGAAAUUUUUUUUUAUUUCAAAUCUUAAAGUUGCCAAGUUAUUUGCCAUUACUUGCGAUUAUUUGCCAAUAAUUGCCCAUUUAUCUGUAAUGCCAUCUUGCAUAUAUGCUGUAUUCUCAUCUGUGACUGGCUCCAUUUUUGUUCUGUGGGUCUGUGUGUCUCUUCUUCUGCCUCCUGUCUCAUAUGUCUUCUCAUUGGAAGAAAUUACAGUUUAGACUGCAAUUUCAUCAACUUCAAUAAAUUAAUUUAGUGGAGAAUUGGUGUUUAACAGUAGUCUUCCUAUCCAAGGACAAGGUAUGUCUUUCUUUUUAUUCAAUAAUUUUAAUUACUGUUAAUAUUUUCACUUUGUGGUGGGGGUAUCUUCUUUCAGUUUAUUUUCUUACUUGAUAAUUUUUCUAUACCUGAAAGUUUUGUUUUGUUUUGGGGGUAAGUGAUCUCCUUACUCUUUCUCAUGGCUUUUCAGAUUUUUUUUCAAAUUAUGUACUAAAUCCUUUGAAAAUACUGAUAGCUGUGAUUCUCCUCUUCCAAAUGAUCUGGAUUUUAGUUAUGUUGAUAAAAUUCACUGACUGGUACUUUCAGAGCACUUAAACAGUUGUGGAAAUAUUACCCACCGUUGAUUUAAUUAGGUUUUAAUGGAUACUUCUUGGGUUUGACCAGCAUGUUUUUGCUGGUCUAUUAAGCAAAAAGACUCUCAGAAACCUACUGCAGCAAAGGAAAACACCACUUUGACAAAGUUUAGUAGUGUUUCAAAAGCAGGAAAUUAGGGCUUUGAGGGAUGCGCUGAUGUGGUUUAAGGCAGGAUUUUCAAGGCAGGGAACUGGUUAGGAGUGGGAAAAAUUUGUCCUGCGAUAGUUUGAAGUCGGUGAAAGAGUAAGAUGAGGACCUUGAUGUGAGUUUAGAUAAUCAAAUUUUUGUCUGAUGAAUCAGCUACUUCCCUAUAUGAGUAAUAUUUUAUCAGUGAUGGAAGAACUAUUUGCUUAGAUGAACAAACUGAAUUUAUUUGUUGGUUUACAGUUCUAUCUUGUUUAUAGAACCCUGCUAGGGGUGGUAUCAGGUCUUAGUUCCAAUAGGUAAGUUAUUUUGAUGUAAGUGGCCUCAGUCAUCAAAGUAAGAUGCUAAUUUUAAAUUUGAGAUUCUUGUGUAUUGUGUUAGGAAAAGUCUCUUACCUUUUAUAUAUUUCUAAAGAAUUUUAAUCAAAACCAAGUGGUAGAUGUA